rnacentral:misc_RNA from 1 species
CUUUCUCCGGCCACGCUCUCUCCCUUGUUGUCUCUCUCUGCCCUCCUGUAGUUUCGACUCACUGGAGGUCUAACCUCCACUGUCCAGGCUCUUCUCGGUUGCCAAGAAUUUGGUCUCUUGGGUAACUGUUCUCUGCUGCAAAUUCUGGUCUACCUCUGUACUGCUACAAAGCACAAGGCAUACCACAGAAGAAGAGGAAGAAGAUGUGGUAUCUGUGUGUUUUCUUCCACAGAUUGUUAGAUUACAGGAAACCAGAAGUAGAGUCUCUGGCAGAACUUUUUGGGGUUUCUGAAUCUUUGGAGUGGAGGCUUCCCCAACAUCACCAUCCUGACUCUCCUUUUCAUUUUGUCAAUCUACCGAAUGAAGAGGCCGCCCUAAACAUCGCCAAUAGAAGUAUACUUGUAAAAGGAAUUUAUGAACUUUGGGG